GUCAUGGGAAUUCUGCUUCUUGGCAAUUUUCACGGAUUGUAAAAUUAGCUUACCAACUUGCAUAAAAACUUCUGUAUGUUAUUGAAUAUCAUCAGUUUUAGCAAGCAUUCUUGUCUCAUUCCUGAUUUUAGAGGAAAUACUUGAACUUCUCACUCGAAAGGAACUAAAAUAAUUCUGAGUACUAGCAAGGACUAAGAUGAAGUUCAAUGUUAUGACUGCAAAGUGAAAUGAUCAGAAGUUUCAUGGCCAUGAGUACUGCUGCCUGGCCCGGGCAUGAGAAAUGAGUUUGCUCUAGACUGCAGAUUGUGAAGACGAGCUUUGCAAAAAUCUAACAUCUAGUGCAUUCUGACUAUGGAGAGGAUAUAAUUGAUGUAAGACUCCAAGAGAUUGCUGGUGAAUAGAUCUGUGGUUAGAUUUUAAACGAUGGAUUUAGAAAACAAUUCAAUGAGGUUAAAAUUAAUUUUAGUAAAUGUGAGGGAUAAGAGAAAGGAAGGCUGAGAUAAGCUGUUUUAUAAGAAAUAGUUAUGCUGAACAGAUCCAAGUUUUGCUGAGGUGAAGCAGAAACAAUAUGGCGAUUAGAAAGAACAGCGAGGUCAAGAUGUUACUGCAUUUUCAACCUGGGUAACUACGAGGUCAAUAUGUGAAUAAGUUAACAAUGUAUUGCUGAAGAAAUUAUGAAUAGAAUGGAGAGGAAACUGGGAAAGUAUAGAGUGUGGUUAUUUACUACAUGUUUUAGGUCACCAGUUAAAAUAAAUAAAGUUGACCUAGGUUUAAAAAGAAGGGAAAAUGUUAAACAAGGAUCAUUGUUGAGUAAUUGGAAUUAA
rnacentral:lncRNA from 1 species